CACAAAAUUCCACACCAUUUAAUAGAGGGACUUGAACUCCUCAGAUUAUAGUGUCUGACAAAGGUCCCCCAUGGAUAUUGAGGGGCAGUUAAAAUUACUUAAUUGUCCAGGCAGGUUUGUGGUUUAUAUCAAACCCAGGCAGUGAACUGCCAAUAAAAUGGGGGUGGAGAGUAGGGCUCCAUCUUUCCUCCCACUCUUGCUCACUGUGCCCCGGGUCCACUGGUCCUUCAGCCCCUCAACCUCUCAAAGUUAUCCUCUCCCAUGUAUCAUCUUCCCCAAAUAUGCAUGGCAUGUUUUCUCAUAACCUCCAUAUCCUCAGAGAGAGACUGCCAUGUGACUUAGUUUAAAUUGGGAUUUCUGCCACCUUGGCAAAGCUUUUGACACCUUCUCUGCUUCAGUUUUCCCUUACUGCUGAUGUAUUGUGUAUAUUGUCCAUCCCCUCUACAUAUAUAGUCUCUCUCCUUCCCUCCAUCCCCUCUUUUUUCUCCUAUCACCAUAAGAGAUUUGAAUUCUCUACAUAAGUGUAGAAUUUUCUGGUGGCUCAAACGUUUUGGAUUUGGGAGUGUUUCAGAUUUGGUGUCUGGGAUUAGUGAUUCUCAGUCUGUAGACCAGUUUCUGGUAUUGUGAUUGAAUUGUAGCCGUUACAGCACCGUGAACCACAGAAGGAAGAGACAUCCGGUCAUUCAAACACACAGGAAUCCCAGGGCAGCUUCAGAAGAGCCGUUUAAGCAGCUGCUACGCACCUGUUCGAGGCGAGUCUCUCCUCUCUUUUUAUUGUGAAGUUGAAGAAAACCCAUAAAGUCAAAGCCCUAGUGGAUUUCCUUUCCUUAAGAAAUGGCCACUUGAAAGACCAUCAUGCUGUUCUAAGCAGAAACCAGACCAAAUGAAGGAGGCUGGGAACAAAUGAGAAGAGACGAGCUGCUGAGAAACGUUUCUGAGACAGUGGUCAGAGGGAAACACCAAGGAAGGUAUGUUAUCCACAAGUAAAACCAAGACAACCACGGUCUCCUCGAGAGCGUUAAGAACACGGUGCCAUCGAUGCCAUCGACUCUGGCAAUGGCUGCCUCCAAACACCCCCUUCACCAAUUCCAAAUGGAAGACAUGUUGAAACUAAUGAGGGGCUUUUUUUUUUUUUCCUUUCAAAAUCAUGUGCAUGGA